UACGUAGGGUGCAAGCGUUAAUCGGAAUUACUGGGCGUAAAGCGUGCGCAGGCGGUCUUGCAAGACAGAUGUGGAAUCCCCGGGCUCAACCUGGGAACUGCAUUUGUGACUGCAAGGCUGGAGUGCGGCAGAGGGGGAUGGAAUUCCGCGUGUAGCAGUGAAAUGCGUAGAUAUGCGGAGGAACACCGAUGGCGAAGGCAAUCCCCUGGGCCUGCACUGACGCUCAUGCACGAAAGCGUGGGGAGCAAACAGG
rnacentral:rRNA from 1 species